CCAAAUUCUUCUUAUUUCUAUCCCCUUCAUUAUCCUUGGUGGAGAAUCUAAUGAGCAGUGAAAUGUCCAAAAUAUAGGAAUCUGGAAGAAGUGAAGAUCCUUAAUAAGUCAGCAUGAGAAAGUCAGUUCCUGCUAAUGUUUCCUGAAACAAACCAAAGGAGUCAAUCAUCAGAAAUAGAAGCAGAGGAAGCAGUAACUCAUUCUAUGAGGCCAGCAUUACACAAAUAUGAAAACUAAACAAAGACAUUGAAAGAAGAAAACUAUAGAACACUAUCACUCAUGAACACAGAUCCAAAAUUCCUCAACAAAAUAUCAGCAAAUGGACUCCAACACUGUAUAAAAAUAAUUAUAUACCAUGACAAAGUACAAUUUGUUCAAGGAGCAUCCUUCGUGCUGAUUAGUCUGUUGAUAAUUUUGUCAAGCAAAUGACACCUGUUAUCACCUCCAAGGAAGGAGUCCCACUUCAGCUGAAGCAGUAGUGCCAAGUUUUAACCCACUCCAUCUUUCAGGGUGGCCAAGAAAGAUAGGACUCUAUUUAGUCUGGCAAACCCUCUGCAGGAGUCUCCCCAAAAGUAGAGUGCCCCAAACCAUUCUGAGAUGGGGCCAGCUGGGAUUCAAAAGAAGCACCAAAUAUUAAGUUGAUUAGUUUGAAGCAUACAUUAGGAGAACCUUACUUACAGAAUGCUGCAGCAUAUCCUCAGGCAGAAAGGGAAAGAAAGGAAUGUUUUACCUGAAUAUGACUUCAGUGACGAGGUCAAGGUAGGAAGCUUAUAUAAGAGUUUAAUGAAGUUGGCUCACGGAGAGGACUAGUUUCUUUUUUCCUGUUUGAUUUUUUUAAAUCAACUUUUAUUUUAAGUUCCAGGGUACAUGUGCAGGAUGUGCACAUUUGUUACAUAGGUAAGUGUGUGCCACGGUGUUUUGCUGCACGGAACAACCUAUCACUUACGUACUAAGGCCAGCACCAUUAGCUGUUCUCCGUGAUGCUCUCCCUCCACACCACCCCUCUGACAGGCCCCAGUAUAGGUUGUUCCCGAGCAUGUAUCCAUGUGUUCUCAUCAUUCAGCACCCACUUAUAGGUGAGAACAUGCAGUGUUUGGUUUUCUGUGUUAGUUUGCUGAGGAUAAUGGCUUCCAGCUCCGUCCAUGUCCCUGCAAAGGACAUGAUCUCAUUCCUUUUUGUGGCUACACAGUAUUCCAUGGUGCAUAUGUACCACGUUUCCUUUAUUCAGUUUGUCAUUGAUGGCCAUUUGGGUUAAAUGCAUGUCUUUGCUAUUGUGAAUAGUACUGCAAUGAACAUACAUGUGCAUGUAUCUUUAUAAUAGGAAGAUUUAUAUUCCUUU